AAAUUGAAGAGUUUGAUCAUGGCUCAGAUUGAACGCUGGCGGCAGGCCUAACACAUGCAAGUCGAACGGUAACAGGAAACAGCUUGCUGUUUCGCUGACGAGUGGCGGACGGGUGAGUAAUGUCUGGGAAACUGCCUGAUGGAGGGGGAUAACUACUGGAAACGGUAGCUAAUACCGCAUAACGUCGCAAGACCAAAGAGGGGGACCUUAGGGCCUCUUGCCAUCGGAUGUGCCCAGAUGGGAUUAGCUAGUAGGUGGGGUAAUGGCUCACCUAGGCGACGAUCCCUAGCUGGUCUGAGAGGAUGACCAGCCACACUGGAACUGAGACACGGUCCAGACUCCUACGGGAGGCAGCAGUGGGGAAUAUUGCACAAU
rnacentral:rRNA from 1 species